UACGGGGGGGGCAAGCGUUGUUUGGAAUUACUGGGCGUAAAGGGCUCGUAGGCGGCCAACUAAGUCGGAUGUGAAAUCCCCAAGCUUAACUUGGGAACUGCAUCCGAUACUGGAUGGCUUGAAUCCGGGAGAGGGAUGCAGAAUUCCAGGUGUAGCGGUGAAAUGCGUAGAUAUCUGGAGGAAUACCGGUGGCGAAGGCGGCAUCCUGGACCGGCAUUGACGCUGAGGAGCGAAAGCUAGGGGAGCAAACGGG
rnacentral:rRNA from 1 species